rnacentral:rRNA from 1 species
CCUACGGGUGGCAGCAGUGGGGGAUAUUGCACAAUGGGGGAAACCCUGAUGCAGCGACGCCGCGUGGGCGAAGAAGUAUUUCGGUAUGUAAAGCCCUAUUAGCAGGGAAGAAGAAAUGACGGUACCUGAGUAAGAAGCACCGGCUAAAUACGUGCCAGCAGCCGCGGUAAUACGUAUAGUGCAAGCUUUAUCCGGAUUUACUGGGGGUAAAGGGAGGGCAGGCGGCAACGCAAGCCUUGUGGGAAAGCCCGCGGCCCAACCGCUGGACUGCGUUGAGUACUACCAGGCUGGAGUGCCGGAGAGGUAGGCGGAAUUCCUAGUGUAGCGGUGAAAUGCGUAGAUAUUAGUUGGAACACCAGUGGCGAAGGCAGCCUACUGGACGGUGACUGACGCUGAGGCUCGAGAGCGUGGGGAGCAAACAGGAUUAGAUACCCUUGUAGUC